GAUGAACGCUGGCGGCGUGCCUAAUACAUGCAAGUCGAGCGAACGGACGAGAAGCUUGCUUCUCUGAUGUUAGCGGCGGACGGGUGAGUAACACGUGGAUAACCUACCUAUAAGACUGGGAUAACUUCGGGAAACCGGAGCUAAUACCGGAUGAUAUUUUGAACCGCAUGGUUCAAAAGUGAAAGACGGUCUUGCUGUCACUUAUAGAUGGAUCCGCGCUGCAUUAGCUAGUUGGUAAGGUAACGGCUUACCAAGGCAACGAUGCAUAGCCGACCUGAGAGGGUGAUCGGCCACACUGGAACUGAGACACGGUCCAGACUCCUACGGGAGGCAGCAGUAGGGAAUCUUCCGCAAUGGGCGAAAGCCUGACGGAGCAACGCCGCGUGAGUGAUGAAGGUCUUCGGAUCGUAAAACUCUGUUAUUAGGGAAGAACAUAUGUGUAAGUAACUGUGCACAUCUUGACGGUACCUAAUCAGAAAGCCACGGCUAACUACGUGCCAGCAGCCGCGGUAAUACGUAGGUGGCAAGCGUUAUCCGGAAUUAUUGGGCGUAAAGCGCGCGUAGGCGGUUUUUUAAGUCUGAUGUGAAAGCCCACGGCUCAACCGUGGAGGGUCAUUGGAAACUGGAAAACUUGAGUGCAGAAGAGGAAAGUGGAAUUCCAUGUGUAGCGGUGAAAUGCGCAGAGAUAUGGAGGAACACCAGUGGCGAAGGCGACUUUCUGGUCUGUAACUGACGCUGAUGUGCGAAAGCGUGGGGAUCAAACAGGAUUAGAUACCCUGGUAGUCCACGCCGUAAACGAUGAGUGCUAAGUGUUAGGGGGUUUCCGCCCCUUAGUGCUGCAGCUAACGCAUUAAGCACUCCGCCUGGGGAGUACGACCGCAAGGUUGAGACUCAAAGGAAUUGACGGGGACCCGCACAAGCGGUGGAGCAUGUGGUUUAAUUCGAAGCAACGCGAAGAACCUUACCAAAUCUUGACAUCCUUUGACAACUCUAGAGAUAGAGCCUUCCCCUUCGGGGGACAAAGUGACAGGUGGUGCAUGGUUGUCGUCAGCUCGUGUCGUGAGAUGUUGGGUUAAGUCCCGCAACGAGCGCAACCCUUAAGCUUAGUUGCCAUCAUUAAGUUGGGCACUCUAAGUUGACUGCCGGUGACAAACCGGAGGAAGGUGGGGAUGACGUCAAAUCAUCAUGCCCCUUAUGAUUUGGGCUACACACGUGCUACAAUGGACAAUACAAAGGGCAGCGAAACCGCGAGGUCAAGCAAAUCCCAUAAAGUUGUUCUCAGUUCGGAUUGUAGUCUGCAACUCGACUACAUGAAGCUGGAAUCGCUAGUAAUCGUAGAUCAGCAUGCUACGGUGAAUACGUUCCCGGGUCU
rnacentral:rRNA from 1 species